CCAUAAACUGCAUUUGAAACUAGAGAGCUUGAGUGAAGUAGAGGCAGGCGGAUUUCCCUGUGUAGCGGUGAAAUGCGUAGAGAUAGGGAGGAACACCAGUGGCGAAGGCGCCUGCUGGGCUUUAACUGACGCUGAGGCACGAAAGCGUGGGUAGCAAACAGGAUUAGAUCCCUGGUAGUCCACGCUGUAAACGAUGAUUACUAGGUGUGGGGGGACUGACCCCUUCCGUCCGGAGUUAACACAAUAAGUAAUCCACCUGGGGAGUACGGCCGCAAGGUUGAAACUCAAAGAAUUGACGGGGGCCCGCACAAGCAGUGGAGUAUGUGGUUUAAUUCGAAGCAACGCGAAGACCUUACCAGGUCUUGACAUCCAACUAACGAGAUAGAGAUAUGUCAGGUGCCCUUCGGGGAAGUUGAGACAGGUGGUGCAUGGUUGUCGUCAGCUCGUGUCGUGAGAUGUUGGGUUAAGUCCGCAACGAGCGCAACCCUUGCUAUUAGUUGCUACGCAAGAGCACUCUAAUAGGACUGCCUUGACAAAACGGAGGAAGGUGGGGACGACGUCAAAUCAUCAUGCCCCUUAUGACCUGGGCACACACGUACUACAAUGGCCAUCAACAGAGGGAAGCAAAACAGCGAUGUGGAGCAAACCCUAAAAAUGGUCUCAGUUCAGAUUGCAGGCUGCAACCCGCCUGCAUGAAGUCGGAAUUGCUGUAAUCGCGGAUCAGCAUGCCGCGGUGAAUACGUUCCCGGGCCUUGUACACACCGCCCAU
rnacentral:rRNA from 1 species